rnacentral:lncRNA from 10 species
AGUGCUGGGAUUCCAGGCGUGAGCCAUCGCGCCUGACAAAAUUUUUUAAGUUAUUCUGGAUGCCAGUUUGAGCCUGAUGCUUAACAGGAUGGAAUAUUUGGAGGUCUUGAGAAGAGGGUGAUUGUAUAUUCCAUGUAAGAGGAAUGUAAAUAGUUUGUGUCUAGAAGGAAGAUUGUAACAGAUUAAGAUGUACGAAUUCCUUCUCACCUAUUGAGAGAAACGGGGUCUAUUUCUUUUCCUUUUGAAUCUAUAUGGGUUUUGUGAUUUCACCAAUGAAUAGAAUACCUCUGCCAGUUUUUGGGCCUAGGACUUAAGAAACUGGCAGCUUCUACUUCCUGUUUUUUAACGCAUCCACUCUUGGAACCCAAAUGACAAUCUGCGAAGAAGACUAAGGGGCCCCACGGAGAGGCCCACAUGGAGAAAACUCAAUCCCCCCUCACCCGCUAUCCCAGGCUGUCAGCCAGCACCACCUUGUCUUGCCAGCCAUGUGAGUGAGCCAUGUUGGAAGUGAAUCCUCCAGGCCCGGUGAGCCAUUUAAACUGACUGAAGACAGCAGCUCUGUCCAUGUGCACAGAGAGUGGGAAGUGCCUGAAAAUUUACAUUUUCCUAGGUAGUGCUUUGCUAAUGACUGACCGGUGUGGAUGUAUAAAAGUCCAGCUCCGUGAUCUCAGACUUCCGGCCUCCAGAACUCAGGCCCUGACAUUGUAUAAGCUUCAGGCCCCACAAAACCUGGAUCUGCCCUGCCAGGAUCAGCAUCUAGAGGAAAACUACUACUUCCACAAUAGCACAACCAAUCUGAUCAUCCCUGCAUCAGUGAGCAUUCUCCAGAGAAACAGAGCCAACAGGAUAUGUGUAUAUAUGUGAAGAAAGACUUAUUUUAAGGAGUUGGCUCAUGCAAUUAUGGAGGUGCAAGUCCAAAAUCUGUAGGGCAGGCAGAUGGGCAGACUGGAGACCCAGAGAAGAGUUGCAGUUCAAGUCCAAAGUCGGUUGGAAGAAUUCCCUCUUGCUGGGUAACACUGGGGAAGCAGGAGUAGAUGGAAAGGGGAGGUGUCAGGCUUUGCUCUACCAAGGACUUCAACUGAUUGGAUGAGGCCCAGUAACAUUAUGGAGGGAAACCUGCUUUGCUCAGAGUUUACUGAUUUAAAUAUUAAUCUCAUCCACAAAAAAAUAAAUAACCUUCACAGAAACAUUUAGAAUAUUUGACCAAAUAUCUAAGUCCCAUGGCUCAGACAACUUAACACAUAAAAUUAUCCAUCACAAUUCCAUUAUCCCAAUACAGGUCGGCAGGGCCUUGGGCAGGUGGUAACCUCAGCUCUGGAGUCUACAGCAAUACUCUCACACUUAACAGAUGUAGUUCUGUGGGUCCAGGUCCCACUUCGCAAGAGAGAAUCUGAUGGGCUAAUUUCGACCAAGUCUCCUUUCCUAGUUCAAUCACGUGUAAGGGUUAGAGAAAGGGUUGGGCUCACAAGGGACUUAGGGCUGCCUCUCUGGACUUGGGAGAGCAGGACUUCUCAAGAGAUAAAUGGUUAGAGAGUAAUAUAAUUUGGAUAUUUGUCCCCUAUAAAUCUCAUGUUGAAAUUUGAUGUUCAAUGUUGAGGGCAGGUCUGGGACCUCCCUCCCUGCUUUUGCUCCCCCUCUCGCCAUAUGGCACAACUGCUCCCUUCACCUUCUGCUAUGAAUGGAAGCUUCCUGAGGCCUUCACCAAAAGCGGAGGCUGGUACCAUGCUUCACGCACAGCCUGCAGAAUCAUGAGCCAAAUAAACUACUUUUCUUUAUAAAUCAUCCAGUUUCAGGUAUUCGCUUAUAGCAACACAAAAUGGACUAAUACAGAGAGGAAAUAUUUUGAGCACAUUGAAGGCCCCAAAAUAUUGAGCUUUUUUUUUUUAACCUAUAUAGUACUUUUCUUGCAUCUCAGUUUGCUUAUCUAUAGAAUGAGGAUUAAUAAGACCUACCAACUUCAGGGGGUCAUUCUGGUGAGAUAAGUGAAAAAAUUUGUAAAGAAGUGUAUAAAUUUACCAUUGUUUUUUAAAACUAAAAUGAUCUCUAACACUAAGUUGAUGAUCUGAUCACAAAGAUGGGGUAGAUGAAAUGAAGAGAAAAGGUUUCUGACAUUUGUAUACUUAGAAAUGUAUCCAGGCUGGGCAUGGUGGUCCAUACCUGUAAUCCCAGCACUUUGAGAGGCCAACGCAGGAGGGUCACUUGAGGCCACGAGUUCAAAACCAGCCUGGCCACAUUGAGAGGUGACAGUGUGUUGGCAGUCCUCACAGC